GAGGAUGUAGCUCAGAGGUACAGUGCUUGCCUAGCAUGCAUGAGGCACUGGGUUCAAUCCCCAGUAUUAACA
rnacentral:tRNA from 1 species